UCAUUCUCAAGAUCACAGCCCUCAC
rnacentral:piRNA from 1 species